rnacentral:rRNA from 1 species
UACGGGGGGGGCAAGCGUUGUUCGGAAUUACUGGGCGUAAAGGGCUCGUAGGCGGCCAACUAAGUCAGACGUGAAAUCCCUCGGCUUAACCGGGGAACUGCGUCUGAUACUGGAUGGCUUGAGUUUGGGAGAGGGAUGCGGAAUUCCAGGUGUAGCGGUGAAAUGCGUAGAUAUCUGGAGGAACACCGGUGGCGAAGGCGGCGAUCCUGGACCAAUACUGACGCUGAGGAGCGAAAGCCAGGGAGCAAACGG